rnacentral:rRNA from 1 species
UACGGGGGGGGCAAGCGUUGUUCGGAAUUACUGGGCGUAAAGGGCGCGUAGGCGGCCUGCUAAGUCGGAUGUGAAAUCCCUCGGCUCAACCGAGGAACUGCAUCCGAUACUGGCGGGCUUGAAUCCGGGAGAGGGAUGCGGAAUUCCAGGUGUAGCGGUGAAAUGCGUAGAUAUCUGGAGGAACACCGGUGGCGAAGGCGGCAUCCUGGACCGGUAUUGACGCUGAGGCGCGAAAGCCAGGGGAGCAAAGCGGG